rnacentral:lncRNA from 1 species
UAUAAGUAUGUGCAUGUGUAUAUAAGUGUCUCUCUCCCACCUCUCUCUCUAUCUCUGUAUAUAUGUAUAUAUGUAUAUAUAUAUAUAUAUAUAUAUAUAUAUAUAUAUAUAUAUAUAUAUAUAUAUAUAUACAGGUUUAUACAUAUUAGUAUAUAAAUAUGUAUACAUAUAUGUAUAUGUAUAUAUAUAUAUAUAUAUAUAUAUAUGUAUAUGUAUGCAUAUAGGCGCAGGAGUGGCUGUGUGGUAAGCAGCUUGCUUACCAACCACAUGGUUCCGGGUUCAGUCCCACUGCAUGGCAUCUUGGGCCAGUGCCUUCUGCUAUAGCCCCGGGCCGACCAUUGCCUUGUGAGUGGAUUUGGUAGACGGAAACUGAAAGAAGCCCGUCGUAUAUAUAUAUAUGUAUGUGUGUAUAUAUGUUUGUGUGUCUGUGUUUGUCCCCCUAGCAUUGCUUGACAACCGAUGCUGUUGUGUUUACGUCCCCGUCACUUAGCGGUUCGGCAAAAGAGACCGAUAGAAUAAGUACUGGGCUUACAAAGAAUAAGUCUCGGCAUUAGUCGAGUUGUACUUUAUUUUACUGACCCCGAAAGGUCAGAAGGCAAAGUCUACCUUGGUGUCAUUUGAACCCAGAAUGUAAAGAACCGACAGAAUUGCCUUGAAGCAUUUUAGUCGGCAUCGUAAAGAUUCAACCUCUUCACCGCCUUAGAAAUAAUCCUUCCUUCUAUAAGCACAAUGCUUGAAACUUAGUGGGUGGGGGAGAUAGUCGAUCACAUCGAACCCGGUACUUGACUGAUACUAAUUUAUCGACCCCGAAAGGAUGAAAGGCAAAGUCGACCUCAGCGGAAUUUAAACCCAGAAAGUAGCGACAGAUGAAUUCAUAAUAAUAAUAAUAAUUAUAAUUAUAAUAAUAAUAAUAAUAAUAAUAAUAAUAAUAAUAAUAAUGAUAAUAAUACUGCCCUGAUGCAGUGCCAGACAGUGGCUCUCACGGCUUCUGAUCUUAACUCAUUGGAAGUGUUAUGUACAUUGUUCUGUCUUAGUAUAAAAGAUGGGCUACAUCAAGUACUUUGCUCUACACCACAGAUUUGCUCGUCAGUUGUUUCACCAUAACCAGUUGACCAUGUCACUUAGUGGCUGACGAUAUGUGCAUCCCUGAUCACAAGCAGAAGUAAUGGGGGAGCAUCAUAGCCGUGUGCUGAACGGGAUUCUUGGAGGUUUGGAUAAUUCAACCUCGGAAAAAUGGGUGGUUCGUUCAACAUCCUUAAAUAAUCCUUAUUCAAGGGCCUUUUGAGCUGGAUGGGCUACUCAACCUGAAGAAAAUUCUAACUGGGCCCCACCUGCAAGGUCAUGCGCUGUUUAUCUUGAUAUGAGAUCACCAUGUCGCGUAUAUAUGAUUGUGUUGCAUGUGCGUGGUGUACCCUUAUCAGACGGGUAGUCAUGAUGGGUAUACUGGGCUUCGUAUAUUUGACCCCAGUGUCACUUUGAUGGCAUGCACUGCUCUCUCACUCUGUAAUAAUAAUAAUAAUAAUAAUAAUAAUAAUAAUAAUAAUAAUAAUAAUAAUAAUAAUAGUCAUUCUUUCUGCUAUAAGCAAAUGUCUUGAACAUUCGGUGGAGGGCGCCAGCCGAUUAUAUCAUCCCCAGAGCGCAACUGGUUCUUAUUUCAUCGAUGCCGAAAGAAUGACAAGCAAAGCUGAUAUCGUUUUUAAUUUGAACGCAGAGCAAUCAGACAAGAUGUCGCUAAGCAUUUUGUCCGGGGUGCUAACGAUUCUGCCAGAUAGCCGCUUAAUAUCAAUAAUGGCAACAAGAACAAUACUAAUAUGCAUUUAAUACAUAUGUUUUUCUAUAUACGCCUAUAGGUGUGUGUGUGUGUGAGAGAUAGAUAGAUAGAUAGAUAGAUAGAGAGAGAGAGAGAGAGAGAGAGAGAGAGAGACAGAGACAGAGAGGGAGAAUAUCACAUAUAGGAACAGACUCAGCAGAGAAAUGAUUGUUGACCAAGUCUAACCUGUUGUCAAGUCUGCACGCCGGGGAAACGCGAGCAAAGCAAGCUGCUGGGACGACCGAAAGAAUAUAUAUAAAUAUAUAUGUAGAUAAAAUAAUUGAUAAAGAUUGCAAUGGGCAAAUUGUACCUAUCUUCCUUAUAUUAGCAUAACAACCACCAAUUCAAGAACAACGAUCACCAUCACAAAUAUCAAUACAACUUUAUUUGUAGACAAUAUUGAAUAUUACUAUUAAAUGUUUGCAAAUAAAUUGGUUUAGGCACUUAAAAACCAAUUAUAAGAAUAAGAACAAUUUACUAUAGCGUUGAAAGGUAUAUUAAAUGGUGUACAGUUAAUAAAUGGUUUAUUUGACAUUAGCUGAACCUCAUUAGUGAGGAUUUAUAUCGUAAUGGAAUGGUUGAAAAGUAUGUUAAAGUAUAUUGUACACAGUGCCGACAUUAUCUCAUAUACAUCUCAAUGCAUGAAAAGGUACACAUUUUAAUAAUAACAAAACUAUCUACUCUGCAAUAAUCUGAUUAUAAUGUGUUUAUGUAAGCUUAUGGCUUAUAAAAAUUAAUAUUUUUUUAAUAAACACGUGUAUAAGGUGGCGUACUGGCAGAUGCGUUCAGAUACGUUCAGAUUCCUAAUUCCAUCGAGGUAGUCUUUGUCUUCCCUCAUUCCAAGGUCGAUAAAAUAAGUACCAGUUGAGCAAAGGAGUCGAUGUAAUCGACCUACUUCCUCCUAAGAAAAUGCUGGCCUCCACGAAGGUGCCAAAAUUUGAAAGCAAUAUACAUACGUGUGUGCAUACGUAUUGGAUACAUAAGUAUAUAUGUAUACAUAAAUGUAUAUAUUGUGUGUGUUUCUACAUACUCUAGGCAUUACUAUAUAUAUAUAUAUAUAUACACUUUUGCUAAUAUUUGGCCACACACAUCUAAAACGAAAUAAUAAAUAACGUUAGGAAUGCAGGAAUUCGUCUCUGAUCUAGAAUAAAAUUUCUCUAAAUUCAAUCUCCCACGAAAAUUGCCAGAGUUCUAAGUUUUAGUUCAAUCUUCUGUCCUUUAAACUAGUUCUAGUUCUUUCCUAACAAUUUCACCAUAAUUCAAAAGCUUCCAUUAACUUCCAAGGUAUAGUAAAGCCUGAAAAGAAACCAGACGUUUCUCCAUUUUGUAAAUCUGACGUGUCAACAGAAACAUUAAAUACUGAAAUUAUUGACUAAAUCCAUUUUCAAAAAUUAAAAGAGACACGAAAAUUACUUUUUCUAUCUCGGAAACACUAAUUAUUCCAUAAUGAUGCUAUCUUUAUGGAAAAAAAUGCAUUGGCACUUUCCAUGUCAGUAUAGAAUUGAUCGACUCUAUACUGAUAUCGAAAGUGAUUUUAUGAAAAGUUUCUUCCGUUCCAAGCUUUUAAGAACGUCUAUGAUGAAAUGUAUCUCAACUGUGAAUACGCUGCUAUUUUGCUAUAUGUAGGGAGCCUAGGAGAAUUUAUGCGAUGUAUCCAUUUUAAGAAGGUUAGAUUUGAUGUAAAGCAUAUCUGUUCGUUAUUUCCAAAAUGUUGGAAGACAGGGUAGUCACACUCUUACACUUUCACUUAAUGAGCUCGACCUCUAUCAAAAUCGUGUUGCUAUUUCUACGAGGUCGAUUUUAAAAGUAUAGUUGAUGAAAAAUACUCUGCAGAAGUUUUCUUCAUUUCAAACAAUAAAUAUUGCAGUGGGUCACAUUUGUAGUAUUGUAGGUUAAGAAUGUAAUAUUAGUAGACACACAUACGUUAGUGACCUUCGAGACCAAUACCUGCUGAAACUACUUGAUAUUUCUGAAAAUAACUGGCGGACUAUACAGAGACGAUGGAUAACAUUUGCCCUAAAAUACUAACACCCGCUCCAGAGUGAAAACCAGAAAAAAUCCUUCACAUCUACUUUCAAAAUCUAGGAUACAUUUUUAGAGAAAAUUAAACUCAAAAAUCAAACACACUUGACUCUACAACUGACAUAGAAAAUUCAACUUACACACAUCAGGAAAACAAGAAAGCGCUUCAUAAUCACCUGAAAUUAUUAUCAAGAACCACGUGAAAAACAUUGCACGGACACAAAAAUACAGUCUCCUCAAGCCAAACAUAUAUGCAAUGAUGUUCGCAUGCAAAUGUGAGUGUAAUGUUUAUAUUCUAUAUAUGUUUAUACCUGUAAAUGAGUAUAAGCAUUAUAAUUAUUCAUGUUUUUAAAUAUAAUUUUAGGUCCUUAUGUUCGCUAGUAUUUGGACGUGCAUAAGUAUGCUAAUAUAAAUGUGUGUAUAGACACACACACACAUACUCCCUCUCUCUCUCUCUCUCUAUACAUAUAUAUAUAUAUAUAUUUAUAUACAUAUAUAUAUAUAUAUAUAUAUAUAUAUAUAUAUAUAUAUAUAUAUAUAUAUAUAUAUAUAUAUAUAUAUAUAUAUAUAUAUUAAUACAUACCUUGUGUGUAUAGCAUGAGAACAUCUGAAAGAGAAAAACGACGAGAACAACUUAGAUUUCUUAAUGUGGCGGUAUAUAUCAGAGAUUGAAAUUAAGCAAAUCAUUUGUAAUCCCUUUCCAACCCAAUAGGGCCUCAGAAAUAGCUGACUAAACAGCUAAUUUUAUUAUGCACUCAAGGCACAAGAACCGCUAAUUUGAAAACUUAAUGUGGGUGUAACACCAAAGGCAUAUAAAGCGCAUAGUACUGAAAUGCUAAAUAUACUGUCAUAUAUGGCGGGUAAGAGUAUGGGAACUGCUGUAGAAGGUACUUUUUUCUGAAUUUUAAUGCUUUCUGAGGCAAUCUAUAUAUAUACAUGUUUAUGCAUACAUACAUAACUAUAGGCAUAUAUGCAAAUAUACACAUAUGGUUUUUAAUACAAUCAUAUAUAUAUUCAUAUAUGUUAAUAUAAAUACAUGUAGAUAUAUAGAGAUAUACAUAUACACGGUCGUGUGAAUAUGUGUGUGUCUGCAUAUAUAUAUAUAUAUAUAUAUAUAUAUAUAUAUAUAUAUGCACACACACACACAGGCAUGUACGUAACUGUUUCUGAUUUGUGAAUGGUUGUUCGUAGAAAUGAUUCAAAUAAUAAAUGUUAGAAAGAAAACACUAAAUACGUAUAUAGACAGAGUAUAAAUUUUAUUUUUACAGUGAGAUGGUGGACAGCAUUGUGAAAGUUUCACAUACGAUCAAAUAUUGAGUUAUUUACACGUUAAAUUAUCGAUUAGGUUUGUCGUAUACAGUGCACAUAUAAAGCGAACACUUCCCGCCGAAUCGUCGAAAAUCGACCAAUCCACCAUUUACAUCAUCAUUCACACACACAUACACACACACACACACACUCAUAGAUAGAUGUGAGUCUAUUUGUGUUUGUAUGCGUGUAUGUGGGUGUAACACCAAAGGCAUAUAAAGCGCAUAUGUGUCCAAUGCAACUUUAUAUGCGACGAUCUGUCUCAUAUAUAUAUAUAUAUAUAUAUAUAUAUAUAUAUAUAUAUAAUAGGAGUAGAUGAUUUCAAGAAACAUCUUAACCUCUUGCUUUCAAAGGUUGUGAUGAACUUAUAUCACGGCAAAAAAAACUCAAAAAGGGGCACCAAUAUCAAUCUCCCGUCUUCAGCGAAAGUCAAUCGCAAAGAAUGGACAUUGUAAAGGUGAUAAUAUGGACUGUGCCCCUGCAUGACCACAGCCUCUACGUUAAAAUACAUAAAAGGAUACUGUUUCUGUUUGUAACGUUGUGGGUUUUUUCUCACACCAACAGUGAAGGGGUCAGUCUAAUGAGCAGCUUUGGCAGCAAGUUUUUUUUUUUACGGGCAGCUUUUCCUCCGGUCGAUUUAUGAGCAGGCGUCGUUGUGCGGUAAGUAUCUUGCUUCCCAAUUACAUGGUUCCAGAUUCAUGUAUAUAUGCCGCAUAAGUCUAGUGUUUUCUACUAUAGCCUCAGGCAAAUGGACGGAAACUGAAAAAAAAAACAGUCGUGUAUAUAUAUAUAUAUAUAUAUAUAUAUAUAAUUACAAAAUGGGACAAGAACGCAAAACAUCCAGACAGGUGAUACAAAAGAGGGGAUAACAAAACAUCCAGAUAGACGAUACAAAGAAAAUAAGGACAGGUCAUUCGGAGUUUUCUUUCCUCAGUCGAGUUCCAGAUUAUCUUUGCAAUUUCGGCUGGUUAUACUUGAGAUUGCUCCAACCUGGCCAGUCCCAAGGAAAAACUAAGCUAAGAGCAUUAGAUUCCUUGGAAGAAAGCAGCGAAUGUAUAUAUAUAUAUAUUCGACUGUUUGUUUCAGUUUCUGUCUACCAAAUCCACUGAAAAUACUUAUAUAAUAGAUAGACAGACAGGCAGAUAGAUAAAUAGAUAGAUAGAUAGACAGACAGACAGACAUAUAGAUAGAGAGAGAGAGAGAGAGAGUGAGAUAGAUAGAUAGAUAGAUAGAUAGAUAGAUAGAUAGAAAGAUGUGUGUCUUUGUGUCUAUGUUUGUCUAACAUCACCGUUUGGCAACGGCUGUUGAUUUGUUAACGUCACCGUAAAUUAGCAGUUAGGCAAAAAGACAUCGAGUGAAUAAGCACCAGGCUUAGGAGAAAAGUACUGGUGUCGAGUUCCUUGGUUAAAAAUUCUUGAAGGCCGUGCCUCAGCAUGGCCGCAGUCUCAUGACUGAAUCAAUUAGAAAGGAUUUGAAAAAAAAAGUGAAUGAGUAAAGCGAAAGGAAUGGCACGCAUCACACACACAUACACACACACACACAUACACACACAUUUCCCCAAAUUUCUCGCGCGCGCACACACACACAUACACACACAUAGAAGGAAUUUAUAUACGCAUAAAUGCAUACAUAUAUAAGUAUAUCUAUAGAUACAUAGUUAUAUGCAUACAUGAAUGAAUGAAUACAUACAUAUAUAUAUAUAUAUAUAUAUAUAUAUAUAUAUAUAUAUACACAUGUGUAUAAGUACACAUUGAUACACAUAUGUAUUUUUAUAUAUACUCGUGUAUGUAUAUACAUGUAUUUGUGCGAGUGUGUUUGUACACGUAAAUAUCUGGACAUUUGUUUCUUUAAAGUUCCUUAUACAGAAAUUGAGUAAUGUUUAACUAACAUACAACAUUUUGCAAACGCGGGAAAUGUAUAUUAAAAACUUUAAAUACACAUUUGAAAACAUGUUAACAAUAGAGAAAUAUGUUAAUAGUGUUUUAUUCCGUUUUCAUUUUUGUUCUUUUUGUGCAUAUGUGUUGUUUUUUUAUAUAGUUAUCCUAUGUUUACCAAAGACAUAACUUCUGUAAUUUUUGUUUUUAUACAUUGAAAUCUGUUUUAAAAAAUUUGAAGUUACAAAAAAAUGUUAUAAAUUUUACAUAUGUAAUUUGGAUUUUGUUUUCAUAUUUGAGGAAAUAUAAUAAUAUAAUGCAAAGACAAUUUGUCAUUUAUAUGAUUUAAGAUACAUUUAUGUAUGUAAGUAUAUACCUGGACUGAAAAAAUAUAAAGGAAAUUAAUCAUUUAAAGUGAAAUUAUAUAAUAAAUCAUAUGUGGCUAUGUGGUUAAGAAGUUCGCUUUGAACCACGUGUACUCGUGUUCAUUCUCAUUGAGUUGCACCUCAAGUGACCUCAACUAUAGCCCCGGCUUUACUGCUGCCUUGUGAAUGAAUACUUUGGUUGACAGUGACUGCAUGGAAGCGUGUCACACACACACACAUGUGCGUAUGUGUGUGUGUGUGUGUGUGUGUGUGUGAGUGUGUGUGUAUUCCCUCACACCGGUGACAACCGCUGUUGAUUUUUUCACGUCCGCGUAACUUUGUGGUUCUGCAAAGAGGUCGAUAAAAUAAAUACCAGAAUUAAAGUAAAUAAGUAGUUGAGUCAAUUUGUUUGACUAAAUCUAUUCAACAUGGUGUCCUAGCAUACUUGCAGUCAAAUAACUAAAAAUGUAAAAAUGAAAAAUAAAAUGACGGGCAAGGACACUAUUUCCUUAUGCAACGAUAAUAUUCUAUCAGGUAUAUUACACGUUUUUACAAGUCAAUACUGUUUUUACAUCACGCGUCUUGGAUACGAAACUUCGUAACAAAAUCAAUGUUGGAUAUAAUUUCUAUAGAAAAUGUGUAGAGUGACCUUAACAAAUGAAAAAUACUUCCAAAAUGCAUAACACUAUCAAAAUUUUAAGAUCCUUGCAAAUAUAUCUCAUAUGCCAGCGAAGCACUUCAUUCAAUACUUCCUUUCUAGAAGAGCUUGUUCACCCUUGCUUCAUUCCGAACACCCGAGUCUAUCGCGAGGAGCUGUCACGGCAUGUUGCACACUAGCUUUCUUUAUCUGCCUCGGCUGUGUGACAGGCUUCAAGCUCCGCUAACGAUUUGCUACUUCCAUUCAUUGAUGUUGUCUAUCAAUAUUUGCUGUCCGACUCUGUCUUCUCUACAGAUUCUUAAAGAAUCAUUUUUGUAAGGCCACAUAUAUCCUGAUAUAUGACCAUAGCAUGUCAAUUUUCUUCACUGCAGUGAGGAAAUCUUUAUAACGGUCAUUGUGAUUUAAAGUAUGAACCUGAGGAUAUUCAAAUAUAACAACAUUGUUUUAAACGAUUUUUUUCCUAAUCUAGGCUUGAGACUUCUACAGCGUAAGGGACUACGAAGAAGGAAAUGAAGUGGCCUACAAUUUCAAAUGAUGUCGUUUGUUAGAAAGCUUAAAUGACUUUAUCUGACAGACCAGAGGAAAACAACACGGUGUUGACCCAGAGAUCAACAGUUUGAGAAAAGGAGCUAUUAGAUUAAACUAACAGGAAGUUCAUAAUCGAUAUUACCCAAUAAAUCAGUUAAUUUCACAAAACACCUCUUGGAUUCAUCAAGAAUACAUGACAUUCGCGGUACAUGCUGCUGUGAAGGCUGGUUUUCAAGACUUAAAUACAAUGAACAUGGAGACAACGCAGUCACGAUGGUACUCUUUUACUGUUUUACUUGUUUCAGUCAUUUGACUGUGGCCAUGCUGGAGUACCGCCUUUAGUCGAGCAAAUAGACCCCAGGACUUAUUCUUUGUAAUCCUAGUACUUAUUCUAUUCGUCUCUUUUGCUGAACCGCUAAGUUACGAGACGUAAACACACCAGCAUCGGUUGUCAUGCGAUGUUUGAGGGACAAACACACACACAAACAUACACACACACACACAAACAAACACACACGCACAAACAAACACACACACACAAACACACACACACACACACACACACAUAUAUAUAUAUAUAUAUAUAUAUAUAUAUAUAUAUAUACACACAUAUACGACGGGCUUCUUUCAGUUUCCGUCAAACAAAUCCACUCACAAGGCCUUGGUCGGCCCGAGGCUAUAGUAGAAAACACCCAAGGUGCAACGCAAUGGAACUGAACCCAGUACCAUGUGGUUGGUAAGCAAGCUACUUACCACACAGCCAUUCAUAUGUAUAAAUGAUCUACAUCGCACUUGGUUUACAGUUAACUUAGUGUUAACAUAAUUAAUAUUAUGAGAAAUAAAUUUUUAAUUAAAAUACUUAUAAAAACAACAGCUGAAUUAUCAUAAACAUUUUGACAGAGAACCAAUCUUAGACAUACUUCGAGCUUCCAAGUUUGUACCAUUAUAUAAAUGAGCUGCAUAGGUUACACAUUUCGUUUAUACUUUUCAAAAACAUGCUGAUUUUUUGUCUGGGAAUAACAAAUAACGAUUUACUCAGAAUUAUUACUUCAAGGCUAUACACCCAAGAAAUCCAUUCGUAAAAAUCCAUUCAUAAAAGACUAAUAUAGAAUCUUAAAUGAAUAUUUUUCUGUUUUUUCUGUAAAAAUUAUAUUCAAAACAUAUUAAUUUGCAUAAUUUUCUAAAUGAAUUGUUUCUCCAAUUAGUAACUGUUUGCAAUGCUUGUGGCUACACGAUAUUGUAAAAUAUUUUGUCUGGAACUGUGACAAUAGCGUUCUUCUUAGCAAAUGAGUCCCACGUACAAUUUCAGCUACUUAAAUACAAAAGUACUCUGACCCAAAAUUUUACAUACAAAUUCAUACAUUCACUUAUGUAUAUUGACAUGAGUAAACUUUUGCUGCUACUGCCAGUAGUUUCCGAAAGCGGAUUCAAUUAAUCUUGAGGAAUGGUUAAAUAAAAAAGCAGAGGGUUGCACUGAUCUUCAUAUCGAACUGCUGAAAAUGCUCUCGUGAUACCUAAUUUGGCAGCGUAGCUAAAUGGUUUUCAAAGUGAGUCCUGAAAUUUAUAAAUAACACAACAUUGUUCUCAUUGAUGUACAGCUAAGCUAAUGGCAGCAAACCUGUAUAUAUACAUACAUACAUAUAUAUAUAUAUAUAUAUAUAUAUAUAUAUAUAUAUAUAUAUAUAUAUAUAUAUAUAUAUAUAUAUAUAUAUAUAUAUAUAUAUAUAUAUAUAUAUAUAUAUAUAUAUAUAUAUAUAUAUACAUAUAUAUAUAUAUGUAUAUAUGUAUGUAUGUAUAUAUAUGUAUAUAUAUAUAUAUGUAGUCAAUCCAAACAUGAACAAGCAAGGAAAAGCAACAACGCGAGGACGUGGAAUUAGUACAGUGUUAUUGGACGCUCAGGAAAGGAAAGAAAAAAAGAAGAUUUAACGUUUCGAGCGGAGCUCUUCGUCAGAAAUAUAGAAAAAGUUCAAAGAAGGGAAGACGGAGAAAGAAAAUCGGCAACGAUUUUAUGUGCAUGUAUAUAUAUAAAUAUGUGGAGGCGCAAUGGCUCAGUGGUUAGGGCAGCGGACUCGCGGUCGUAGGAUCGCGGUUUCGAUUCCCAGACCGGGCGUUGUGUGUGUUUAUUGAGCAAAAACGCCUAAAAUGCAGCACGAGCCUCCGGCAGGGGGUGGUGAUCCCUGCUGUACUCUUUCACCACUCUUUCUCUCACUCUUUCUGCUGUUUCCGCUUAGCCAGAGGGGUGGCGUCAUUCGAAGGCUAAAACAAUGCAAACGCAUUGUGACCAGCGAUGUGUAGCAACAUCUGUUGGUCUGGUCGGUCACGUGAUCACAUGAUAUAUAUAUAUAUAUAUAUAUAUAUAUAUACCUGUGUGUAUGUGUAUAGAUGAAUAGGUAGAUAGAUAGAUACAUAGAUAGAUAGAUAGAUAGAUAGAUAGAUAGAUAGAUAGAUAGAUAGAUAGAUAGAUAGAUAGAUAGAUAGAUAGAUAGAUAGAUAGAUAAACACCAGCAAAAACUAGGAAGAUUUGUUGUUUCGGUUCAGCCUUGAUCAAGAUGAUCAAAUUUUUCACAUCCGCAGCUAUUUUGUCAUUUUCAAGUUAUCUUGAAUCACUUUAUGAAAUAUCCCCUUUCACUGCUUCAGCCAAUUGAUUAUAAUUUGAGGAACUUGCUGUCUGCUAUUUACCAGACGUAAGGCUACUACAGAAAGCGUCUUAUGUUGCCUCGGUCACUGCCUAUCUACGACUUGAUUGUUGGUCUAGAUUCUGCCCGAUUUUAUGAUCAUUAAGCAUUUCAGAGCAAACUGCAAGAAGCUAUUGUGUUGUCCGAUAAGUUCGUGCCGAUUUUUAAAGGAAAGAAAAAGGUCAAUAAAUACUAACCAUUACCCAAGCCUUACGAGGUGCUCAUGAACGAAGGAUUUUGAUAGGUUGAGGCUUUUUGCCAAUUCUCGCUUGUGCAAUGUGGGUUAUUCUCAAUUAAUGACUUGAUUUGGUCAUCAUCUUUAGUGGAUGGCCUGCCUGAUCGCUCUUUAUCAAUAAGGCUACACUUUCCAGCUUGAAACCUUGCGAACCACUUCCGUACAGUUCUUUCGGAUAAAGAAAUAUCACCAUAAACUGUUCAUAUUUCUUUGGUUGCUUGUGAGGCAUUUUUUCCUUUACGGAAAAAGAAAAGCCUCAAAUACCGAAAAUGAACUUUCUUAUCUUCCAUUUUAAAGGGUUACAGAAUUAACACAGAUUAUAGGAACAUAAACCUUCUUCCACGAAAAGAUAACUUAACCUGGGCUCCAAAUGGAGGUGUAGUAAAAUCCUAUUUUAUGGACUCAAACUUGUUCUAAAAUAAGUCGAAAGGUAAGCUGCUAUAAAUCAGCACAAACUUUCCGGACAACACAAUAGAAUACCAUACAGUACCAGCUUAGAAAAUCGAAUCCACGAUCGUGUAAUCUUUAGUUCACCAGUUUGCUCACUAUGGCCUGCACCUUCAGGAUUUAAUCCAUGAUUACCUUCAUUUCGAAAUCUGUACCUUCGUUUUAUAUAGGAGAGUAUUAUUAUUUAUCUCAGCACUAAAGUCGUUGUCAUCUACUACCCACUUUUUCUAUCUCCAUAGAUUCAUUGUUAACUAUCGUAGAAUUUAUUGUUAAAUAUAUAUAAACAUAACCAACGGAAUAUAUCUGAUGCGUAGAAAAACUGACUGUAUUAACAGAACGAAUGUCAUCGUAACUUUAACAAUGUGUGAUAAAUUAAUUUUAAAACACAAAUAAAAUUUUGCAAAGCAUAUAUUGAUUUGUAAGACUUAUAACUGUACCAGUAAUGCUAUGAAUAGCAGCAAUAAUUAAGAAUUUUUUUAAAGAUUAAAUAAGCAAUCGUUAGAACUUUAUAUUUGUUUAGAAAAAAAAACUUAAAUGAUAUAAUAACAACAGAAUAAUUUUAUUGAUUGAAAAUUAAA